UUGGAGGGCAAGUCUGGUGCCAGCAGCCGCGGUAAUUCCAGCUCCAAUAGCGUAUAUUAAAGUUGUUGCAGUUAAAAAGCCCGUAGUUGAAUUUCGGGAUCAGAGUGUCGGUCGUGCCUCGGUACGCACUGGUAUUAUUGGUUCCUACCUUCUGAAGAACCGCGAUGUCAUUAAUUUGGUGUCGUGGGGAAUCAGGACUGUUACUUUGAAAAAAUUAGAGUGUUUAAAGCAGGCUUACGCUUGAAUACAUUAGCAUGGAAUAAUGAAAUAGGACGUUGGAUUCUAUUUUGUUGGUUUCUAGGAUUGACGUAAUGAUUAAUAGGGAUAGUUGGGGGCAUUAGUAUUCAAUUGUCAGAGGUGAAAUUCUUGGAUUUAUUGAAGACUAACUACUGCGAAAGCAUUUGCCAAGGAUGUUUUCAUUAAUCAAGAACGAAAGUUAGGGGAUCGAAGACGAUCAGAUACCGUCGUAGUCUUAACCAUAAACUAUGCCGACUAGGGAUCGGAUGAUGUUAAUUUUUUAAUGACUCAUUCGGCGCCUUACGGGAAAC
rnacentral:rRNA from 1 species